ACGCUGGCGGCGUGCCUAACACAUGCAAGUCGAGCGGAGUCAGUAAGAGGAAGUUUCGGAUGGAAUCUUAUUGAUUUAGCGGCGGACGGGUGAGUAACGCGUGAGCGACCAACCUUGCACAGGGGGAUAACGGACCGAAAGGUUCACUAAUACCGCAUGAGACCACGGUGUUGCAUGACACAGGGGUCAAAGGAGCAAUCCGGUGCAAGACGGGCUCGCGUCCGAUUAGGUAGUUGGAGGGUAACGGCCCACCAAGCCUAUGAUCGGUAGCCGACCUGAGAGGGUGAUCGGCCACAUUGGAACUGAGAUACGGUCCAAACUCCUACGGGAGGCAGCAGUGGGGAAUAUUGGGCAAUGGGGGGAAACCCUGACCCAGCAACGCCGCGUGAAGGAAGAAGGUUUUCGGAUUGUAAACUUCUGUCCUUGGUGAAGAGAAGAAGACGGUAGCCAAGGAGGAAGCCCCGGCUAACUACGUGCCAGCCGCCGC
rnacentral:rRNA from 1 species